AUUGAACGCUGGCGGCAGGCCUAACACAUGCAAGUCGAACGGUAACAGGAAGAAGCUUGCUUCUUUGCUGACGAGUGGCGGACGGGUGAGUAAUGUCUGGGAAACUGCCUGAUGGAGGGGGAUAACUACUGGAAACGGUAGCUAAUACCGCAUAACGUCGCAAGACCAAAAAGGGGGACCUUCGGGCCUCUUGCCAUCGGAUGUGCCCAGAUGGGAUUAGCUAGUAGGUGGGGUAACGGCUCACCUAGGCGACGAUCCCUAGCUGGUCUGAGAGGAUGACCAGCCACACUGGAACUGAGACACGGUCCAGACUCCUACGGGAGGCAGCAGUGGGGAAUAUUGCACAAUGGGCGCAAGCCUGCUGCAGCCAUGCCGCGUGUAUGAAGAAGGCCUUCGGGUUGUAAAGUACUUUCAGCGGGGAGGAAGGGAGUAAAGUUAAUACCUUUGCUCAUUGACGUAACCCGCAGAAGAAGCACCGGCUAACUCCGUG
rnacentral:rRNA from 1 species